AUAGUCGGAUUCGCAUCAAUCCACAUGUAUUGGGGUGGGUUGGAGUGAAACUUGAACUAAAUUCCACCCUAAUCUACUCCAAUACAUGUGGAUUUAGGUGAAUCCGACA
rfam:Sorghum bicolor cultivar BTx623 chromosome 4, whole genome shotgun sequence.